UACGAAGGGUGCUAGCGUUGUUCGGAAUCACUGGGCGUAAAGCGCUCGUAGGCGGCUAUUCAAGUCAGGGGUGAAAUCCCAGAGCUUAACUCUGGAAUUGCCUUUGAAACUGUUUAGCUUGAGUGUCGGAGGGGAUAGCGGAAUUGCUAAUGUAGCGGUGAAAUGCGUAGAUAUUAGCAGGAACACCGGUGGCGAAGGCGGCUAUCUGGACGACAACUGACGCUGAUGUGCGAAAGCGUGGGGAUCAAACAGG
rnacentral:rRNA from 1 species